rnacentral:rRNA from 1 species
CAGAAGAGAAUGAAAGAUUUAUCGGUUAUGGAUGGGGAUGCGUCUGAUUAGCUUGUUGGCGGGGUAACAGCCCACCAAGGCGACGAUCAGUAGGGGUUCUGAGAGGAAGGUCCCCCACAUUGGAACUGAGACACGGUCCAAACUCCUACGGGAGGCAGCAGUGAGGAAUAUUGGUCAAUGGGCGAGAGCCUGAACCAGCCAAGUAGCGUGCAGGACGACGGCCCUAUGGGUUGUAAACUGCUUUUGUAUGGGGAUAAAGUCAAUCACGUGUGAUUGUUUGCAGGUACCAUACGAAUAAGGACCGGCUAAUUCCGUGCCAGCAGCCGCGGUAAUACGGAAGGUUCGGGCGUUAUCCGGAUUUAUUGGGUUUAAAGGGAGCGUAGGCCGGAGAUUAAGUGUGUUGUGAAAUGUAGACGCUCAACGUCUGACUUGCAGCGCAUACUGGUUUCCUUGAGUACGCACAACGUUGGCGGAAUUCGUCGUGUAGCGGUGAAAUGCUUAGAUAUGACGAAGAACUCCGAUUGCGAAGGCAGCUGACGGGAGCGCCACUGACGCUUAAGCUCGAAGGUGCGGGUAUCGAACAGGAUUAGAUACCCUGGUAGUCCGCACAGUAAACGAUGGAUGCCCGCUGUUGGUACCUGGUAUCAGCGGCUAAGCGAAAGCAUUAAGCAUCCCACCUGGGGAGUACGCCGGCAACGGUGAAACUCAAAGGAAUUGACGGGGGCCCGC